UACGUAGGGUGCGAGCGUUGUCCGGAAUUAUUGGGCGUAAAGAGCUUGUAGGCGGUUUGUCGCGUCUGCUGUGAAAAUUCAGGGCUUAACCCUGGACGUGCAGUGGGUACGGGCAGACUAGAGUGUGGUAGGGGAGACUGGAAUUCCUGGUGUAGCGGUGGAAUGCGCAGAUAUCAGGAGGAACACCGAUGGCGAAGGCAGGUCUCUGGGCCAUUACUGACGCUGAGAAGCGAAAGCAUGGGGAGCGAACAGGAUUAGAAACCCGAGUAGUCC
rnacentral:rRNA from 1 species